AAUCGUGAUGGUUACAGGCACUAGAAAUGAUUUUUAAUGGUUGAAACCAGAUGAGAAUAUUGUGAAUUUUACCCUUCUAAAUUGGGUGUUCUAUCUCAGUUCUUAAACAAAACAAAAAUUAUAUUUUUUUAAAUUAUUCUUUCUUUUAACAUCAGUGUAGCAAGUUCAUGGAAAAACAUUACUUUGGAACGGUCGUUGGAAAUUAUGGGAUAUAACUGCAGGGAGACUUCCUCUACUGCAUCUUUUUUUUAUUAUCUACCCUAAGAAAAUGAUUGUGGAAAAGCAGGUAGAGUAAGAAAGCGUAAUUACAGUUAAGGGGGAAAAAAAGGAGACCUGCCUGCCUUCCAAAUGAUCUAAUCAUGUGUUUUAAGGAAGUUGUUCAAAAUUAGGUUCUUCAUUCUUUUAAAAUAGUCUUUUGCUAGAUUCUCUUCUCUGAAAAAGAAAGCUUUUGUACAACUAAACAUAAACUUGGAGGGUUACAUCAUGCUGUGUCAUGCAGCAUAGGGCAGCAUAAGAAACCAAACAGUUGUAGUCUUUAACAUCUGUCUGUCCUCCAACAAGGAAGGCAGUAUUGAGAAUUUUUCAUGCUUGAAUAUGAUACUGGAAGCUUUCUACAGCAGUGCUGAUGCUGAAAGCCCCAUGCAAGAAAGCUGAUUUUUAAAAAUUUGUCAGUUCCAAAACUUCAUCUUUCUACCAGAAUCCUCAUACUCGGAAAAAGUAUUUCUCUGUACGCCUAGCUCCACAAUAAGCUGUCACUUUUUUUCAUUAUACCACACUGUUCCUUUUCAGACAAAACCACAAAUUCUGUCUCAAGAGAUUCAGUCACUGUUGCUUUUCUAAAGCAGUGAUCUAUGCAGUAUUGACUUUGGUCAGUCCGUGUGGUUAAUUUAUUAACCACAUGUGGAUGACAGUUGUGGGGAAGAAGCAUAAACUCCAGGACUUCAGGCUUACUUCUAGUUGAAUAAUUCAGCUCAUGAAAUGACUUAAGUUUUAUAGCUCCCUGGUUUCAAGCCAUUUUGUGUUUCUAAUCUGCUCCACAAUUGCAAUUUUGGGUGCUAUUGUUAACUUCACUUAAUCUUCAGUAAACUGUGUGUGAGGAAAGAUAAGCAAUGUAGUGACUGGAAACAGGUUACGGAGCUGAGAAAUUGUUUUAAAGAAAAGUAUGUUAUUGGCACCAAAAACAAGCAAUUAGUGUUAAUGUUUUACAACAUACAUCUCUUGUCUUCUGUGGCCAGUGUGUUCAGCUUUUCUGAAUAUGGUUCUUAAUGUGAACAAAGCAAAUGAAUAAAGGAACGAAUACCUCCCAUUUGAAUCUUAAUUAAAACCUCAGUCAACAGAUCCGUUGCAUUUGGAACAGGUAUGGUUCAGAUGGGGGAGCUGCAAACUCCAGUUGCAGGACCUUAACUCAGACCAAACUUUUAUUCUGAUCCAAGUAUGGUGACAACAUCAGUUAGUUUUAAUUCGUUCCGUUGGAUAAAGUGACUCCCCAGAGACUCUGCUAUUACCUGAAUGCCUGUAUUGAAUAUACGAUAAUGUAGCAUUAAUGGCAGUGAAAUUGAAAAGUAAUCGUUCUUGAUUAAUUGCAGUCUGCAACUGAAAUGGUCCCCCUCUUAGGGACUUGAGAAAUCACUGUUUACUGGAUGAAUAAUGAAAAGGAGUAUGAGCACAAGCAAAUGGAGAUAACUUUUGGAUGAAACCACAGUGAAAGAUGUGUUGCAGGAACACACGUCAUUGACAUCUGGCUUGGGGGAAUAAAGUAGUCUGAAGUAAA